rnacentral:rRNA from 1 species
CUAAUCUGCGAUAAGCGCCGGUAAGGUGAUAUGAACCGUUAUAACCGGCGAUACCCGAAUGGGGAAACCCAGUGUGAUUCGUCACACUAUCAUUAACUGAAUCCAUAGGUUAAUGAGGCGAACCGGGGGAACUGAAACAUCUAAGUACCCCGAGGAAAAGAAAUCAACCGAGAUUCCCCCAGUAGCGGCGAGCGAACGGGGAGGAGCCCAGAGCCUGAAUCAGCAUGUGUGUUAGUGGAAGCGUCUGGAAAGGCGCGCGAUACAGGGUGACAGCCCCGUACACAAAAGCGCAUGUGCUGUGAGCUCGAUGAGUAGGGCGGGACACGUGGUAUCCUGUCUGAAUAUGGGGGGACCAUCCUCCAAGGCUAAAUACUCCUGACUGACCGAUAGUGAACCAGUACCGUGAGGGAAAGGCGAAAAGAACCCCGGCGAGGGGAGUGAAAAAGAACCUGAAACCGUGUACGUACAAGCAGUGGGAGCACCCUUCGGGGUGUGACUGCGUACCUUUUGUAUAAUGGGUCAGCGACUUAUAUUCUGUAGCAAGGUUAACCGUAUAGGGGAGC